CAAAUAGCUCAGGAACAAAUAUGUACAGAAUAGAAAGAUUCCAACCUCCCAAGUAAAGAACUGUUACAAAUAAUGAAGAAACUAGUAGAUUCAGAUAUGAAACAAUGUAAAAUAAACCAAAUUUGAUACCUGAAUAUUCGGUAUGAUACCCUGCUACUAAUUCUUCUUCUGCUUCUGGUAAAUCAAAAGGUAAUCUUUCACACUCGGCGAGAGAUGAAAUUAGAAAAAUGAUAAAAUUGAUGGGUUGACACCACAAAUUCCACCCCAAAAAACCAUAUUUUGACUACUUUUCCACUAUAUCAACUGUACUUGAAUGUUAGAUAAUCAUGGUCGAUGAUAACAUCACCAUGCCUAUGGCUAUUACGGAGCUGUAUGUGAGAUUUUUACCUCAUACGGCUCCUUAGAGGUCACAAAUAAAUCUAAGGGCUCUUUCCUAUUCUUUAUCUGCUAUAUUUAAAAUUAAUAAAUAAGUGCUUUUGAAUUUAUCUCAUCUUUUAAGAAUUUUAAUUUGGAUUUGUUGAUUAAUAACCAUAUCAUUAAAUAAAAUAAAAAAUAUGCUUUAUAGCAAUAUCACAUAUACAUGUCAACCUCAAAUUUUCAAUUACGAAAAAUAUUAGAGAGUUGAUUAGUUCAUGAAUCAUGACAAAAAUUUGAUCUCUCUAAAUAGAAAUCAAAAUUAAAUUAUAGGAAAGAAAGAAUAAGAACAAAAAAAGAAAAAGAAAGGAAAAAACAACGACAUCUCUCCUUUUUUUUUCAAUUAGAUUCUUUUCUUUCUAUUUUGAUUUCUUUUAUUUCAUUCCUAUUCUCCUUUCUCAGAAAAAGUGUCUUUAACCAAAGUAAAAGAUUAAUUCAUUCGUGAUAGUUAUUUACUUACUCAGUGAAUAGGAAUAUACUCUGGAUCAGAAUCAUGGGGAGUACUUCUUCAUCAUUUCUACGAAUGUAAAACACCAAUUUGAAUUCCUUUUAUGUACAUAAAUAUCCUCUUGGAUAACUUACGUAAUCUCAAUUAUUAAUCCUUUGUGUAUCUUGGUCUUCAUAACCAUCCACUUAUUUUUUCUUUCAAAAACCUGCUGUUGUGGAAAUCUAUCUAUGGUAAUAGACAAAAAAAACUUCAUACAGUUGAUCUUUUGAACCCACUUCAAGUUAUCAUGAUAAUUCACGAAUCUUGGGGUAAACAAUCUCUAUNAAAAGGCCGAAUAAAUUGGAUUGGGAAGUAAUACCACUCCUAGACCCCCUAAUAUAAGACCCGAUCCUAGAAAGACUAAAAGAAAAUCAUGUAUUGGUUCAGAUAAAUCCAUUUUUUAUAAAAAAUCAAAAACGAAGAAUUUCAUGACUUUAUUGACCUGACCAGGAAAAAAGCAGUUUUUCUAUUUUUUAUGAUACUUUGAAAUUGUUAAUUGAAUGAAAUUCUAAUGGGUAUAAAUUGCGGUGGAUGCUUUUAUUUUAUUGGACCACUAUCCAUUCUUUACUCGUCGAAAGAGUAGUUUAAACCUAUCUAUUUUUGAUAUCAUUUAUCUACUUUGAAACCAUUACUAUUUUACUAUUAUCUAUUAUAAUAUAUAAUAUGGAAAUCAAUUUUGUUUUCAAUCUAAAUUAAGCUAGUAGUCUCAUUAAGCAACCACUAGUUUGAAUUGCCCAAGCAAAAAUCUCAUUGUUUUAGAUCCGAACUAAGCCUUCGUAAUUCGUAAUUUUUUUGAAUCGAAUUAAGGGUUUAUUCAUUCUUUAUUUGAGGUAAAUUCAAAAUUGUUCGAAUUGUGUAAUCAUCAAUUACUGACAUUGGUAAGCGACCCAAAGCGAUUUGAUUAUAAUUCAAUUCGUGACGAUCAUAAGUAGAAAGUUCAUAUUCUUCGGUCAUUGAUAAACAAUUUGUUGGGCAAUACUCAACACAAUUACCACAAAAUAUACAGAUUCCAAAAUCAAUACUGUAAUUCAGCAAUCGUUUCUUUCGAAUAUCAGUUUCCAACUUCCAAUCAACAACGGGUAAAUCUAUAGGACAUACACGCACACAUACCUCACAAGCAAUGCAUUUAUCAAAUUCAAAGUGUAUUCGGCCUCGGAAACGUUCCGAUGUGAUCAAUUUUUCGUAGGGGUAUUGAAUAGUUACAGGUAAACGAUUUGCGUGGGACAGGGUAAUGAUGAAACCUUGGCCGAUGUAUCUGGCGGCUCGUAUUGUUUGUUGACCAUAAUUUAGGAAUUCCGUUAUCAUAGGGAGCAUAUGUUGAAUAUCUAUAAAAAAGAUUUUAUGCUUGUUUCUUUCUCUUGUUUGAGACAAGUCGUGAAUCUAGGAUAUUGUGGUCUUUUACAGUGAAAGAAGUUGGAACGAGGUUGUCAAUAAUAGAUUACCUAGAGAAAUCGGUAAAAGAAAUUUCCACCCAAGAUUUAAUAGUUGGUCCAUUCUCAGCCUCGGUAAGGUCCAUCUUGUUGCAAUAGGAAUGAACAAAAACAAAUAAGUUUUGGCUAAUGUGAUAAAAAUACCAAUUAGUCUUCCAAAGACUUUACCCCUUUUAUUUAUGCCAAAUAGCUCAGGAACUAAUAUGUACGGAAUAGAAAGAUUCCAACCUCCCAAGUAAAGAACUGUUACAAAUAAUGAAGAAACUAGUAGAUUCAGAUAUGAAGCAAUGUAAAAUAAACCAAAUUUGAUACCUGAAUAUUCGGUUUGAUACCCUGCUACUAAUUCUUCUUCUGCUUCUGGUAAAUCAAAAGGUAAUCUUUCACACUCGGCGAGAGACGAAAUUAGAAAAACGAUAAACCCGAUGGGUUGACGCCACAAAUUCCACCCCCAAAAACCAUAUUUUGACUGCGCUUCCACUAUAUCAACUGUACUUGAACUAUUAGAUAAUCAUAGUCGAUGAUAACAUCACUGUGCCCAUCGCUAUUACAGAACCGUACGUGAGAUUUUCACCUCAUACGGCUCCUCAGAGGUCACAAAUAAAUCUAAGGGCCCUUUCCUCUUCUUUAUCUUGAUAUGUUUGUCAGAUAGAGUCAAAAUCUAUCCUAAGGUCCCAAAUUAGACCAAUGGAAUUCUGUCUGCUAUAUUUAAAAUUAAUAAAUAAGUGCUUCUGAAUUUAUCUCAUCUUUUAAGAAUUUUAAUUUGGCUUUGUUGAUUAAUAA
rnacentral:lncRNA from 1 species